CUGCAAGUCUGAUCGUCAUAGCCUUUCUAAUUUAUUUCAUCAAGACAAAAACUUGUGAUUUCUGCAACGAUGCUGCAGCAGCCAGUGGUCAUCAGGAAAGACCACAGACAACUGAGGACUCGUUGGUUUAUUCUGCACCGACCUUCAACAAGAACAAAGCUGAGAGAAGAAAUGCAAAAACAGCAGAAGAGGAGACGAUCUACACCGAUGUCAACACUUCUGCAAGAAAUCAACAA